rnacentral:rRNA from 1 species
GAACGUACGCUGGCGGCACGCCUAACACAUGCAAGUCGAACGAAGUAGCAAUACUUAGUGGCAGACGGGUGAGUAACAUGUAGGUAUCUGCCCUUUGGCCUGGAAUAACACGAGGAAACUUGUGCUAAUACCGGAUAAGUCUUUACGGAGAAAGCUUUAUGCACCAUUGGAUGAGCCUGCACUUGAUUAGUUUGUUGGUGGGGUAAUGGCCUACCAAGACUGUGAUCAAUAGCUGAUUUGAGAGGAUGAUCAGCCACAUUGGGACUGAGACACGGCCCAAACUCCUACGGGAGGCAGCAGUGGGGAAUCUUGCACAAUGGAGGAAACUCUGAUGCAGCGAUGCCGCGUGAGUGAAGAAGGCCCUUGGGUUGUAAAGCUCUUUCGUCGGGGAAGAAAAUGACUGUACCCGAAUAAGAAGGUCCGGCUAACUUCGUGCCAGCAGCCGCGGUAAUACGAAGGGACCUAGCGUAGUUCGGAAUUACUGGGCUUAAAGAGUUCGUAGGUGGUUGAAAAAGUUAGUGGUGAAAUCCCAGAGCUUAACUCUGGAACUGCCAUUAAAACUUUUCAGCUAGAGUAUGAUAGAGGAAAGCAGAAUUUCUAGUGUAGAGGUGAAAUUCGUAGAUAUUAGAAAGAAUACCAAUUGCGAAGGCAGCUUUCUGGAUCAUUACUGACACUGAGGAACGAAAGCAUGGGUAGCGAAGAGGAUUAGAUACCCUCGUAGUCCAUGCCGUAAACGAUGUGUGUUAGACGUUGGAAAUUUAUUUUCAGUGUCGCAGCGAAAGCGAUAAACACACCGCCUGGGGAGUACGACCGCAAGGUUAAAACUCAAAUGAAUUGACGGGGACCCGCACAAGUAGUGGAGCAUGUGGUUUAAUUCGAAGAUACGCGCAGAACCUUACCAACACUUGACAUGUUCGUCGCGACUCUAAGAGAUUAGAGUUUUCGGUUCGGCCGGACGAAACACAGGUGCUGCAUGGCUGUCGUCAGCUCGUGUCGUGAGAUGUUGGGUUAAGUCCCGCAACGAGCGCAACCCUCACUUUUAGUUGCCAUCAUUAAGUUGGGCACUCUGAAAGAACUGCCAGUGAUAAGCUGGAGGAAGGUGGGGAUGACGUCAAGUCCUCAUGGCCCUUACGUGUUGGGCUACGCACGUGCUACAAUGGUAUCUACAACAGGAAGCAAGACUGCGAAGUUAAGCAAAUCCCUAAAAGAUACCUCAGUUCGGAUUGCACUCUGCAACUCGAGUGCAUGAAGCUGGAAUUACUAGUAAUCGUGGAUCAGCGUGCCACGGUGAAUGCGUUCCCGGGUCUUGUACAC